UCUAUUCCCCGCGGUCCCUACACGCUCCGGGCCGCCGCGGCCACCAGGGCGAAGCGCUCGCCCCUGGACCGUAGGAGCUAAGGUGAGAAAAUUCUGGGCGCCCACACACACUUGGACAUAAUGAACUCCCCGGCCUGGACUUCCCCCACCGUAUACGCCUGCCUACUCAGAUGGGGCGACUGGAAACAUGAUGCUUGGUUAGGGAGUGAUGCAAAUCGCCAACGGAUUUGCCUGGCCCUGGGUGGUGGACAACAGGUAGAAGGAGCUCGCGCGCGUUCUGUUCUGGGUGGUGGCUUUUAUACCUCUCCGAAACCAUAGCAACGGAUCCACUCUGCUGACAGGAUUUGGGGAGCAAGCUGGUAGUCUCCAAGUGGCCCUCUUAGUCCAACUUCUGUCAUUUCCCUAUGAGAAAACCUUGACCUGCGCUUCACCCCCACCUCCACCUCGAAUGCACCCUUAUCAAUGGGCUUCCCCCGGGUAUUCGUACUCCGUUAGACCUGCCGUCACGGCGCCCAUCUCCCUGCCUCCAUCUCUAAAUCAGAGACAAUCCCGGGUCAGGGGCUGGGGGCAGAAGGGUCAGCGGACAGUCUCUGAGCCCGUCUGGAGCCUCAGUGGCAGACGCCUACUUUCCUCCCAGAUCCCUGACCUCCCAAUCCAAAUAAAUCGCAGAAGGAAGUUGGGUUCGAGAUCUGAUGGGCGCCGAACCGUUGGUCUCAGACUCAAAGACUGGCGAAGGAAGCCAAGGAGAGCUUCAGGCCUGGCGGCCGCCGGUCUAAAAUCUCCAGUAAACUUCUUAAAUAGGCUUGAAUUGGGGAGAGGAUACCUAAAUUUCCGAGACUUCUCGAAGCCCGGCUUCCAGGGAGGGGCAGCCGGCGGCGAGCAAACCCGGCUCCCCUUGCUUCUGAGUAGAAACGAUUAG
rnacentral:lncRNA from 1 species